CUAGUUGGUGACUAUAGCACUAUAGUGGGCCCUGCAUGCUCUUCUUCUCUAUGCAGGCUAAAUAUUGAAACCCGACCUUUUUGCCUCGCUCUGAAUUACUGUUAAAAGCCUUCUGGAGUAGCAGAUGAGAAGGACAGGCUGGUGCUACAGUGGGACUUGGCUAUGAUUUGGAGCUGAAGAAGGCAGAUCAGUUGGGAAAGACUCAUGUGAGUGGCCUCACCCACGUGGUUUCAAUCUUCACCCCACCCCCAGCAAUGAUGGACUUCACCAGAAAGCAGCUGCAUUCACACUGCUCUGCGUGCAUAGCAAGAACAAAGGCUAAAUGGAAACUUGAUCGUAAGUAUAUAAAAGAUAAUAGCACUUCUCUGCAACCACAGUGAAUUUGACUUCUGCAGGUUUUAUUAAUUUAAGUAGGUAAGCAGUAUGGUGAAAAUAAUAGCUAUGUUGCAGCUUCUAAUUGGACGGUAUUAAAGUAGGUGACUUUUAUUGUAUACUAGUCCAGCCAGUGUUCAAAUACAGCUUAAUAGUGCACCCCAGAAAACCCAUAUUCUUAAAACAUUUAGUGGUUAACAUCACUUUUAUUUGGAAGAAAGCCCCAUUAAUCUCAUGUAACUUACUUUCAAGUGUGAGCUCUGGAUAACAAUGCCAUUAGGUGAUACUCUGAGGUGCUUUGUGAACAUGGUUAACUCACAGGAGUGGAGUGGUCAUAUACCGGCAGCUGCUCCCUACCCCUUAAUGUAUUGUAGCUGGCCUAUUAAGGAUAGCUACAUGGCUUUACUUGGAGACGGGCAAAGUUGAGGAAGAGCAGGGCAUCCACAGCUUCCUUGCAUGACAGCCUAUGUCCUUUUACAAUAGCAAGGAAUGGACAGCGCAUUCCUCAAUAAGGAUUGGGAUAGAGGUCAACUGGCAAUUAGGGCAGAGCCCAAUGGCUUCAUUCACCAGGCAUUGGAUCCUACUUUAAGCACAACAGCACAGGACACAAUUUGCAUCACUAUGGCUAAAGAAGACAGAAAGGCCAAAGCAAUUGUGUGGAUUUUCUUCAGUGGAACUGCAGGGUUUUUAAGUGUGUAUGAUGUACAUUUAUGGAUUGUAGCAGUGGCACCUUUAAAAGUCAAAGGACAACCAGCUUAAUUACUGGAAUCCAUUGAGCUCAGGAUUUCAGGCUAAGGCUGUAUAUCUGGGAGGUAACUUCUCAGCUGGAUAUUAUCAUAAUUUCACAAAGCCAGUAAAUUUAGGAUGCACUUGUUGGGAAUAUUAAAACAAACUGAAUUGUAAUGUUAACAUCAUGACAUUUGGCAUUACCAUUUGAAGGGUUCAUUAACAAACCAGACCUUGUGUUAAAAUGAAUUGUUAAAAAACAGCAACCCCAGACUUCGUCACACCAGAAGCAAAAGGCAUAAACAAACGAGAGUAUCACACAUAGCAAACAAUAGUCUGAGGAUAGAUGCCAUUGUGCAGCCGCCUGAAAACUGUAUAGAAAUUCACACUAAAAAAUUAGCACUUUCUCACAGAAAUAUAAGCUUUCUUUAAAGUGUACAGGCCAUGUUCAGUUCUGGUAUAACAGCACUAUAAUUGCCCUGAUCAACAAAAGUGGUAUGGUCCUUAGUGUUUGCAGAAUUUAAGACCUAUCUGGCAUUUAUUUCCUUCCAUUUAAUGAGAAAAAGAUGGGGCUUGUUACAAAUCCAUCUUUUCCCUCCCAACCAAUCAUAGAUGCUCAUCAUGUUUUGUCCUUGCGUGGACAGCUAACAUAAUAAAAGGUCUGCAAUGGCAAAUUCAUUUCCCCACACUGAAUGGCAAUGGGGAACAAUGAGAUGCUGCUAUAGAGAUACAACUAUGUGGAAUAUUUUAAUCACAUUCUCCUCUGGUUCAUAUGUGUAAGUAUUACAUGUCAUAUUAACCAGAAGUGAUAUUAACCAGAAACGCAACUGCCUAAAGAUGUUUUCUUUUUUAAAACAGAGCAAAUAAAUAUCAACAAUUUAAAAUAAAGGGAAGACAGCUUAUUACUGCUGAUGGUUAGUGCCUCUGACAGCUUCAGCACUUCCAAAUGAGGAUUCAUUUAGAGUAAAUGAAGAAAAAGCGUUUUCAGCAAAACCAGUGGUAUGCUAUCCAGGAAGCAGAGGCAGCUUGCAUAGCAUUAGUGCAAACUUGAUCAAAGCAAAAUCCAAGACUUGCAAGCCUGCAAAAACGAUUCUAAAGAAAUGCAUUUGCAAAGCAUUCCUUUUCCAUAUGUUUUGAAAGGCCAUUCCAGGCUUGUUUCCUUUGCUAAAAGUUGUGUGCAUAUACUAUACAAAUCAUCAAGAUCAUGAUUCUUAACUUAAAGUGAACUAAUUUUGAUUAAACAGUCAUCUGAGAUCUUAUCCUGCACUCCUGGUGCGGGGGAGAACUUUCAUUGAGUUCUGCUAAAAUAAGACAGUGGUUCUGCCAACCAUGUUAAAGAAAAACGAGGAGGAACUAAAAUGAAAUUAUUUCUGACUUAAAGCCAGUGGGUGAUCAAAUCAGAAUGUUAAGGCGAUUUUGAUAUUUUCAAACAAGUUCCAGAUGGCAAGACAGAAACCCCCCCAACCCUACCUGCUUUUAACAUUAAAGUAGCAAAACCACAGUAGUAGCAACAAAUGGCACAAUUAAAAAAGAUCAAGUAAUUGAAAACUUUAGUUCUGGUAACAUCAGAAGAGCCCAGUGCUUGGAUGUGCUGACCCUCUUGCUAUGUUCCAUAUUCCAUUUUUAUAAAAGACGCAUGUGAGCAGAUUAAGCUAUGACAGUCACCAUGUCAGUAAAAUAGAACAAUGCUUACAAUUAUGCCAAAAAAAUAGCUAGUCAGGUGGGAAAGCUGUCUUCCAAAUUAAACACAGUGUACUAAAUUAAAUUGAGUGGAGAGAUAAUUGCUUCCAUCCAGCAGUUUGCUGGCUACAAGAGCUCCAAUGCACAUGAGUGUGCCAAGUCCCACAUGUGCAAGGAGCUCCCACAUGUGAAAGGUCUUCCCAGUUCACUUCAAUGUCAGGUUCAGCUCUGCAUGCUCAUCUCCAUUGUGCUUGUGGAGUUACGCCCAGCAGUAAAGUGAAAGGGAAGCUCAAUUGUAAGGGAUACCUGUGUGCA